CCUACGGGAGGCUGCAGUGAGGAAUAUUGGUCAAUGGACGAGAGUCUGAACCAGCCAAGUAGCGUGAAGGAUGACUGCCCUAUGGGUUGUAAACUUCUUUUAUAAAGGAAUAAAACGAGGCACGUGUGCCUUUUUGCAUGUACUUUAUGAAUAAGGAUCGGCUAACUCCGUGCCAGCAGCCGCGGUAAUACGUAGGGGGCAAGCGUUAUCCGGAUUUACUGGGUGUAAAGGGAGCGUAGGCGGUGAUGCAAGUCAGAAGUGAAAGCCCGCAGCUCAACUGCGGGACUGCUUUUGAAACUGUAUGACUAGAUUGCAGGAGAGGUAAGUGGAAUUCCUAGUGUAGCGGUGAAAUGCGUAGAUAUUAGGAGGAACACCAGUGGCGAAGGCGGCUUACUGGACUGUAAAUGACGCUGAGGCUCGAAAGCGUGGGGAGCAAACAGGAUUAGAUACCCUAGUAGUC
rnacentral:rRNA from 1 species